UUGUGAAGUAGUUUUGAUGUGAAGUGAUAUUGCAAACCCCUCACAUCCAUCCAUCCAUCCAUCCAUCCAUCUCUGUUUCUGAUUAGGGUGUUCUUUACUGGACGGUGAACAUGCUGCGAUGGGAGCAGCCUACAAAACAGCACCACAAGCACAGGGCCUGGAGAGCAUCGCUGAGCAGAGAUGUUUAUCUGGAGAACAAGAUCCUCCCUACAUCAGUCUGCCAGUAAAGGCAGUCAUGUCCUGGAAGUUAGAGAUAUGCUCCUCAGGUUUUAGAGUUCAGAAGAUGCUGCUCCAGCAGUGCUGUCAGACCCCAUUUCUCCUGCUGUCUCCCUCUGAAGCUCCUCACACAAACGCACACAUCCUCCGUUGUGGCGCCGCGGGGGAAAUGUGCCACACCGCCACUGAGCUGGAACCCAAAACUAAUUAUUCCCUUAAUCCAGCCAGAAGAGAGACGGAGAAAAAAUAAUUUGUGUAAACACACGGGCACUGCAUCACAGAGCAUUGUUAGAAAGACCUUGUUAAUAUCAUGUCUCGGAUUGUCCAUCUGGAGUUUGUGAAGAGCUUUUACAGGAAUUAAGGGGGAAAAAACAAGGCUUUACGAAUGAAGGACAUUAAUAUGAAACAUUAUUAAGAAAUCAUUUAUUUUUUAUUAAGAAUAAGGGAUCACUUUUGAGACUUUACCCAUCUUGAAUUACACUUAAGAGUUCUGGGCUUUUCUUAAAUGAAUUCACACCUUGAUUUCAGCUGAAUUAUAUGCUUACAGUAGCUGCAGUGCUUUUCAAGUAACUAUUAAUAAUUAAAGUGACCUGAGACUUUUUAAUAGACUAAUUAGCAGCUAGAUGUGAUAGAAAGAUAAAAAGCUAAUUAGAAGAUGCGACAUUAAAGGCUUCGGUGCUAUGUAUACUGUUUUUUCUUUAAAAAUAUUUUUGCCCUCUGUAGAGCCAUACAUCACAAUUCAAAGGGGUCAAAGAGGUCAUUCUACCUAUUGUAUGAUAUUUCCCACCUCCAGAUGAAUAUUUGUUGUUAAUUACACAGACUAUAGCCCACGAUGAGCAAUGCUCAUGUCAUAUUGAGAAUUAUCUAAGCAAUUUGCUUUUCUAUUGGCAUGGCAGCAACAUGAAUUCAUAAAAACCCCAUCUUAUGUGGUCCUAUGCUCUGGAUCUCUCUGCCUU
ensembl:lncRNA